UCGAACCCUCCUCCAGUCCUUGAUCUGGACCAUCACUUCCAAUCCGAAAUGGUGAUUUUUCCAACCACAGUAACAAGUUAUCCAAUCCUUUUUUGUCAAUGCCGAAUAUGCGGUCAAUAAUGUAUUUGGCAUUCAUUAUUAGACCCUGGAAGAUCUUCUGUCACGUAGACCACGCAGACUACGUGACUUCAAAGAAUUUCAAGAAAGCGUCUCCAAAAAUUAACGUUGUUGUAGAUAAAGUCUAGCUCGCCCUGUCCAUUUACUACGUAGGCACCUGCACCUGCUAACCGGAUUUAACAUUUAAAAAUUAAAAAAAAUACUUAUAGGGUAAAAUUUAGAAAUAUCUGUGGACUUGUACAGACAUUGAACAACUUUUGAAGGCUUCUCUUUAUGGGUGAGAAAAUGAAGCAAUCAUUGACUUAAUAGGAGUGUGUAUGACUAAAAUCAAGACAGGUUUGGACUUGCACUGGUUUCAGCUGCUUUGAACAAAUGUAAUCCGCUAAAUAUAGCUAAAUUACUGGCUACAUUGCCGUACCAGUUCUGAUGGAUAGACAGUCCUCCGUCUCUUGGAUUCUUGGGAAGAUAAACAACCACUCGGACAUGUUAACUGAUGGAUGGUAUUCAAACGUAAGCGGGCAAGGACGCUAUCACCCGGGAUUUGGCUCGUGCUGCAGCUUAAUCAAAAUAAUCCAUUUUGUGGAACAAGAGCAAAAGUAGUUCUGGCGGUUGUUAAACGACAAUUCCACCCAGACAAGAUAGUACAUACAACACGACGAGACCCAAACAAGUCAAAUGGCGAUCAAGGAUAACCAUCGUUCUUCAGAAACAAGAACUGGAUUGUGCGGGGAUGAAUCCGGGUGACUUCACCCAUGGGCAAUUGCCUCC